GUGGAAUUGUGGUGGCAAAGCACGUUAGGAAAAGGUAGCCUCGCGCUCCUCACACUGUCCUCCAUGUUAGCAGAUUUUCUACUACUAGAGGUCAGCUAGCGAGUCCUUUGUUUUUUGUUCUCUGCUCACUACCAUGUAAUGGCUGCCAGCUCGAGCUUCAGCUUUAAUAACAGCGGGGAAUAAGGUUCAAGGCCUCUUCAGAUAUUGCACCCCUUGGUAUGCGGAGUGAGUUUUCACGGUGCUCGUGAGAGUGUUCAGCAAGCUGAAUAAAAUAAAGCACCCGUUUAGAGACUCUCUGCGUUGCUUCUUGAAGCCAAGGGCUGCUACAUAUUUCAUGUUAAAACAAGAAAACAUGACAUGAAAGGUGGAUGUUGAACUGACUGAAGAAGAGGAGAUGUUUGAGGUGAUGGACACAGAUGACCACCUGGACACAGAGAUUGAAUAUCUGGCAGAAGAAGAAACGACAGAGGCAACACUCACGGAAGCGGAGGUCGAAGCUGUUAAAGAGCUAAUGCUCCUUUUCAUUGAGAAGAUCGAGGCCGAAUCGCUGGGAAAAGACGGGAAUGACAGUUGAUCCUGUACCCAUAAAAAGUUGGGCUGAUAUGGUGGAUAAGACUGAAGGAAACAUCAACCAGACUGCUGAAAUUGAAGCAUUGAAGAAAGACGCAGAACUGAUGACUAUGGCUGGAGAUGAGCUGCCCAGUGCUGGCAGACAGAAUCCAGAUUCCAGAGGAGAGACGAUCCACAAACUCCUUCAUGCAACGGAGGAUGUGUGAGUGAAAGAAGAAUGAGAGGAAAUGCUGCUCAGUCUGCUCCUGCACACAUUGACAGAAAUGACUGGACACUGAAAACACCACACUGGUGGCAGCAUGAUGACCACUCUGCAUGAUGACCCUGAUGAAAUACAGACUGGAGAGAGACACCAGAAUAAGAAAUGGAGGAAUGGAAACAGGCAGUGGAAGAGUGGGAGAAGAACUGAUGCUUAAUACUGACCACUGAAGAAAACCUUUAGAGCAGCCUGAGAAUUAAGUCAGUGGAGACAUCAAAAAGAAUUUGGAAAAAGAAGAACAGUCAGAGAACUCAGGAACCUGUGAAAGAGCACCUGAAACUGACCCUCAUCAAUAGAGGAGGGCACAGAGAAAGGAGGAUAGGAGAGAAAUAUGUUAUUUGAAAGCAGGACAUCUGCAACCUCUCCUGAGGAAAAGAGUGCUCCACAAAACGACUGCAGAAAGAACAGAGAAGAACACAGCUAGAGAAGUCCAAAAUCUGUGAAAGAGCACCUGAAACUGUUCCUCAUCAGCAGAGAAGAACAUCCCUCCUGAGGAAAAGAGUGCUCCACCGAACAACUGCAGAAAAAACAGAGAAGAACACAGCUAGAGAACUCCCGAACCUGUGAAAGAGCACCUGAAACU